AUUGAACGCUGGCGGCAGGCUUAACACAUGCAAGUCGAGCGGGGGAAGGUAGCUUGCUCCCGGACCUAGCGGCGGACGGGUGAGUAAUGCUUAGGAAUCUGCCUAUUAGUGGGGGACAACACCUCGAAAGGGAUGCUAAUACCGCAUACGUCCUACGGGAUAAAGCAGGGGAUCUUCGGACCUUGCGCUAAUAGAUGAGCCUAAGUCGGAUUAGCUAGUUGGUGGGGUAAGGGCCUACCAAGGCGACGCUCUGUAGCGGUUCUGAGCGGAUGUUCCGCCACACUGUGACUGAGAAACGGCCCAGACUCCUACGGGGUGCAGUAGUGGGGAAUAUUGGACAAUGGGGGGAAUCCUGAUCCAGCCAUGCCGCGUGUGUGAAGAAGGCCUUAUGGUCGUAAAGCACUUUAAGCGAGGAGGAGGCUACUCUAGUUAAUACCUAGGGAUAGUGGACGUUACUCGCAGAAUAAGCACCGGCUAACUCUGUGCCAGCCGCCGCCGUAA
rnacentral:rRNA from 1 species